UUUCCGUUGAGUGCAACGGUUAGCAUACGCUCCCGGAAAGAGUGAGAUCUGGGUUCGAAUCCCGGCUGACGCAAAC